rnacentral:rRNA from 1 species
CCCCAGGGCCCGAGUUGUAAUUUGCAGAGGAUGCUUUUGGUGAGGCACCUACCGAGUCCCCUGGAAUGGGGCGCCACAGAGGGUGAGAGCCCCGUAUGGUAGGACGCCGAACCUCUGUAAAGCUCCUUCGACGAGUCGAGUAGUUUGGGAAUGCUGCUCUAAAUGGGAGGUAAAUUUCUUCUAAAGCUAAAUACCGGCCAGAGACCGAUAGCGCACAAGUAGAGUGAUCGAAAGAUGAAAAGCACUUUGAAAAGAGGGUUAAAAAGUACGUGAAAUUGUUGAAAGGGAAGCGCUUGUGACCAGACUUGCGCCUGGCGGAUCAUCCAGCGUUCUCGCUGGUGCACUCCGCCAGGCUCAGGCCAGCAUCGGUUCUCGCCGGGGGACAAAGGCUUCGGGAACGUGGCUCCUUUCGGGGAGUGUUAUAGCCCGUUGCGUAAUACCCCGGCGGGGACCGACGACCGCGCUUCGGCAAGGAUGCUGGCGUAAUGGUCAUCAGCGACCCGUCUUGAAACACGGACCGAGGAGUCAAGCAUUAGUGCGAGUGUUUGGGUGUAAAACCCGCACGCGUAAUGAAAGUGAACGUAGGUGAGAGCUUCGGCGCAUCAUCGACCGAUCCUGAUGUUUUCGGAAGGAUUUUGAGUAGGAGCAUUAACGCUUGGACCCGAAAAGAUGGUGAACUAUACUUGAAUAGGGUGAAGCCAGAGGAAACUCUGGUGGAGGCUCGCAGCGGUUCUGACGUGCAAAUCGAUCGUCAAAUUUGAGUAUAGGGGCGGAGAGACUAAUCGACCAUCUAGUAGCUGGUUUCAGCCGAAGUUUCCCUCAGGGAAAGAGAAAAACUUUCGGUUGAGAAACAGCUACCUAGAUGGGUUCGGAUUAUUUUUUCCUCCCCUUCCCCUCCCAUCCUGGAAGAAUACGAUUGGGAAAUUUGAA